UUCGUUGAGCGGUUGCUAUGGCGACAGAGACGCAAGUCCGUCAUCAGCCUCAGCCAGCUGCGUCAGAGGAGGAGACGGCGGUUCCUGUUUCUGAGAAAGCAGCGCGCGCGCGCGCGAGGUGUGGAGCUCGUCCGCCUCUUAGCCUACUUCUCUCCAUUAACCGCAGCCCUCCUGUACGUUUACGGCUCCAUUGUUUGCCGCGCAUAUCGCAGUGUUUAUCUUUCCGCGGCAGCCGCGCCGCUCCUCGCUCUGCAAAUCCUCACUCGUCACGCCCACGCGCUCCACUCCCUCACCUGUCUCUACCUCUGCGCGCCACGGUUACAGUUGUCAUGGCGACACAACAGCGGUCAGCUUCUUGAAGUGGAGAGCGAAGGUCUCGGCCACGAUCAGAGGAAACACCAAAGAGGCAUCUGCGUACACCUGACGAGCCACACAAGAGAGAUGUGAUGAGAAUCUAAAAACCCAUUCAAGGGUCUUCCAGAGACUGAUUACUGAGGGGAAAUGGCACCAUCUUGUGGCCAAAACAGGAAUUACAGUGAGGUUUGGCAUCCGCUCUGAUCUUGCCCCAUGAUAUGGCUUCAUCAGGUCGAGCCCCAGAGUCAGAGCCGUCAAACUCCUGGCCGGUGUUCACGUACACCGCAAAGUCUGCUCCAUUCCUCUAGAGUGGAUCCACAAAGAGAGAAUUCAUUUAGCUUCAUUAAAGUAGAUCUGGAUAAGAAAACUA